GAUGAAUGCAUUUCAGUAAUUUGGCCAUACGCAAAUAGAUACCUUCCAAGUAACCAUGGAUCAUCUUCCUGAUGCUUAUGAAUUUCCAUCUUCCUCUUUAAUGAGGUUUCUUACCAAUUUAUCGAUUGAACACAAAUUUGCAGAAGCAAAUGCUUGGAAUGGUAUAAUAUAAGUGAGCAAUUCUCUUGCAGGAAUGAAGGCGAGGAUCGUUUUGCGGAAGGUUUAUGAUUACAUUCGGUAAUUGUAUUUCCUUCGUCGUUGCCGGAUCCUCCGCAGCUUCAAAAGCUUACAAAGCAUGAACGAUUAUUGCUGUGGCUGCAAGAAGAGGAAUGGAGACAUUAAAACCAACUUUGCAGCGGGUUUAUAUGACUAGAGCUUCUGCAUAUAGAGAAGCAAUUUUAUAGAUGGGUAUCAAGAAGGUAUUCAGCAAGUCAUGGAGAAGAAGAAAGUUUCUGAUUCUCAAUCGGGAAGCGAUAAAUUCAAAUAUAAAUCUCUGAUCCUAUUUAUGCUUCAUGUUUAGAGGAUUGGGCAGUUCAGUUUGCAGUUGUAAAAAUUGUUUGAGUUGAGAUUUUUAGUUUUAUCUCCGGAGGUGCUAUUUGAUAUAUGUACAGUUUUGAGAAUCUCAUAAUAUAAACUACAAACACACAGUCAUUAGAAGGAUGGCAAUUGUCAGUUAUUUUAAUUUGUAAGGUCUGGUUUACAAUUGAUCUCAAGUUGGAUAAGUUUUCCUCAACGCUUCAGGUGUGAAUUGUUAAUUGCAGCCGGCCCCUACAUUCACAUUAUGACCACUCAAGCUUUUUAAUCAUGUCAUGAGGUAUCUGCAUGGUGGAUUGAAUGUCCGAUACAACCAUAACUCUAUGAUUUGACAAGAAAGCGUUGGACCCUGAUUUUGCAAAUUGAGAAAGAAAUGUAGUGGCAUAGUUAGGUCAUAAGAUGCUGUGAAGAUGCUCAAGUACACUUUAUUGUGGUUAGAUGGAAGGCUGAAAAUGACUGGCGUUACAGGGAUUGAAGGGCCCAUUUAGAAUAGGGUCGAGCUUCCAAUGUUCGAGCUACCAUCUGACUUUUCCAGCAGAGCCGGAAUUGUUGAAAACUAAUGAGUGUAUAAUUUGAAGAGUUUGUUCAAGUAGUAUGAUAGAUCCUGAUAAAGAAUCGAGCGACUCUUAUCUUUAUCAACUAAUGAUUGUUUGGGAUCGUAGUUUCACAGAAACUUAUGCAGGCAUUGAAACCAAUUACCGUCGGCUUGCACACAUAUCUGGGGACCCCCCACUUUGAAAGCCACUGAUGAAGAUUGGAAAAUCAUCAACCAGGGAGGUCAAUGGUUAUCUCUCUUGUCUGCACAUUUAUGGGCCCCGCAAGCAAGAUUUCCUCACUCACCUUUUCAUCAUUCCCACAGAAAAGGCAUGUUCAUCAAACAAAGUUCAAUUUGUAGGAAUUGAAUACAGGAAUAGGCAUGGCAUGAAAUUAACAACCUCUUGAGCAGCAGUUCAGAUCAGGCGGAUUCACAGAAAAAACUGGUUGAAAGGACACGACAAUUGAGAGGCAAAUCUUAACAUAAAUGAGGUAAGAAACAAAGGUUAGAUUUUGCUAGAACUUGUAAAAGAGUAAUAGUAGCAGUAAUAGUAGCUGUUUCCGAUCCAUCCAAUCCCACCUACUCAAAUAAAGUGGCACUGGCACUGGCACAGCUUCUUCCCCCCUUUUCCUCCGCUCAUAUUUUGAGUCUCUCUAAAAAAAUCUUGAGCCAGAAUGUCAAAUAGAUUCUUCAUUCCUGGCCUUCAACGACCCUAGUUUCCAAUUUACAUGUAUGACGUAAGCCCUAGGUAGCUUUCUUGUUCCUGGACCCCACUUUUCCUCUCCCCUCAUCCCCCCCACCCCACCCCACCCCUGACCUUGGAAAGUCGGCCAGAAAACCUGGGAUUUAUUUCCCUAUCUAUUUUCCCAUAUAUUUUAUUUAGUGUGAAUGCUCUUCUCAAGUGUAGUGGGAAAAAGUGUGUUUUGCAUUACAGGGACGUCACAUCCACACAUCUCUAUCCUUCAUAUUUCGCCUGCUUGUUGACAUCUAGUGGAAUCCUGUUACAACCUCAUCUUAGAACUCCCAUAAAAUGACACACCUGUUACAGUAAAAUACAAAUAUGUGUGUGUUUGUGUAGAUAAUCAAGCAGAUUUUCCUGUGAUUUGUUAGGCUUGAGAGAGAGAGAGAGAGAGAGAGAGGUGUUGUAGAAAUAAAAACUGAAAGGGGUUGGUUGGUCCAUAGUGUGCAAUGCUCUGCUAAUAAGAAGAGUUGGCUUUGAACUUUUUGUGCGUAUGAUUCCUGAAAAGUGAAGAAAGGAAGAGUGUGAUAUCAUUUGUGCAGAGUUUUUGGUCCAAUAUCAUUUCUCUGAUGCUGCUGUCCAUGUACGAUGUUCCCCUUACAAUCUGCAAACCUACCAUUUCCUUUCUCCUUUCCUUCUUCAACUCUCUCUCUC